AGAGUAUUCAAGGAAGCCCAAGACUGCAUGGAAGAUGUCAAUUUGCCUGGAAAAUACUGAGUCUUUGCCACCAUUCUCAGGGAGAAGAAAUACUAGGUUUUAGAGCAGCAUUCUUUGGAACUAAGCACCAAACAGGUUUAGUUGUGCUAAGAAGAGAUUAGAUGAAAUUUCUUGAUGGUCUGAAUUGGACCUUGCUGUUAAAGUCAAGAGCCAGGAAAGCUUAUAUUUGCAAGAAAUGCCAUAACAUCAAAGGAGUUGAUUUGAUAACAGAUGGAAAAACUGAAAAACUGCCUCCGCUUCAUUAAAGCCCCUCACAAGACUCUUAUAUAAGGGGCUGUGCAGAGAUCACUAAAGCUCAUCACACAGUCAGCCACCCGAUGACACCUGGUCACUUCCUAACAGGUACUGACUUUGAACUAGCAAGCGAUUAAAUAUAAAAAUCCUACAAAAUUUAAGUUACGUGGUCUCCAGCAACGUCACUACAGGUAUCUGUUUUCUGUUCUUAACCUUGCUGAGUUCAGUAGUGUGGAAUUAUCACACGGGAGCAGCUUCUUAGUUCCAUAUUAUUGGGAAAAAGUGCUUUGUCACAUAUCCAGGAUAUCGUUUUGUGAAUUCCCCGUGCUGUGCAGACUGGAUCACCCUCGCUAACUGCCUGGAUUAUGCAGCUGUCUGAAGCAGGGAAGCCUCCUGAGCAGAGACAGUGAAAACUUGAAAAUCAUGCAGUUGGAGGAAUAUACUAAACUUAAAAUUUCACAUCUUUAGCAAAAACUUUAACUGCUAGAUUAUUGCAUAAGGGGAACUGUUUUUCACUACUAAUAUCCCGUUUUCAUUUGAGCACAGUUCUGAACACAGCUUCUAUUCAGUAUGUAGUUGGCAUGCUCAAGUACUUUUAAAGGACUGAGCCUGUUAGCAACGAAAAAUUCUGGGCAUUAACAAGACUGAUACAAGGUAGUUACCAACAAUACUAAGGUAGCUCUGGACACAGGCAGGUACAAUACUGUAGGCGCUGGGAAAUUUUAAUAUGCAUCUUAAAAAAUGACAUCUGCAGGGCUCAUGUUUUGCUAAUCAUAAGUUUGAACUCCCAUGGCUACAUCCUUUUUUGACUCUGGCUUCCGAAGUGAGGAUGCCGGGACUGAGUGCUAAAUUCCCAUGAUGCAGGAGGGAUGGGAGUGUCCACCCUGCUGUCUUUGUGCUGACUGAUGCAUCUCAUAUGCAUGCUGCACCUUUUGAAGAAUCAUAGCUUUGGGUAUCUCCUCCUCUAGUCCAGCUUGGUUUGCGAAACUAUAUCCAUGGAGUGUAAAUUCUUCCCACAGGUUGUUAUUGUUAACUUGGUGUUUUUAGGGCAUCUAGAGGGCUCAACAGAAAUCAGAAGCCUGUUGUGCUAGUUACUGCAACACAUGCAUUGUAAGGGAGUGCCAAAAAAUGCAAGUAACCUGAGAAAAGUUAUUUUCCCAUUUUGAAAAUGAUGUACCAAGAUUUAAUGUCCUGCGAUUCCACAUGGAGUAAAAUUCACAGAAAAUGAGGGAGGAGGGCUGAGGCAUACCCAAACAAUCUGGUUUAAUGAGCUAACAGAAUGUGCUGUUUGUGCCCCAUUGCAAAUGUUCAUUUGGUAAGCUAUAUGGAUAUGGCCCUUCUUCAUACUAGUGGUGUGCUGUAGAUGCUAGCUGAAACCCCAGAGAGGUUUCUUCAGAGCUAACAUAUGCAGGCAAGUAGGGCACACAAAUAAUGACUUUAGUCAGAACUGCUAACAAAUGUUUGCUUGAUAAUCUGCAUUAAUUCAGUUACUUGCAAUCAUCUGUCCAAAUCUCAGCUUUUUUUUUCCCUCUCUGCUUUCUAGUAAAUUCAUAGCAUGUGUGUAUUUCUGAUUAAGUGAGAUCUUGAAAGUCCAAUAUGUGGACAGUUCUGCAUGAAAGCUAAUGAUCACCUAAUCAGAACAAAGGCUUACCCUGUUGUCCUAGCCCAGAUAUCCUUUGAAGAUAGUAAAUGUGCUGUUUUAGGAGUUGCUAUAGCUGAUGAUCAAACCUGUGAAGAUAAAUUUGUGUUUUGGAGUUGAAGACACCAUACAAUUGCUACAGAAUUUCAAACUUGUGAUUUGCCUUUGGUUCAUGUCACACUGACACCUAGAAGAUAAAAUGAGCUUUUCUUAGUGGACCAGGUUCUCCAAAAGAUGUUUUCUUUAGAAAAGUGAAGGCACUUUUGCAGUAUUGAUUUCCUGCUGCAUAGACAUAACUAACAUUUCAGGAGAUCUAUACCAGUUUAAAAUUUACAUUAGCUCUUUUAAUGAAAUCACUAGCACCUUUGGGACUUCUUGGUAGGAUAAACACUGAACUCAUAGCAGCUGAACACUAAAUUUCAACAUCACUUAAGCAAAAUUCAGAUAGUAGUUGAUCUACUACUUCCCCUUCCCCCAGCACAACAACAACAAAAACAAGAGCAAUUGACUCAAUCUGGUAUUGGUUGAGUUAUUAUAGCAUAGUUAGGUUGUUCUUGGUUUUUCCCGACACGUGCUUUACCAAAAAAACUUGAGUUAAAAUCAGUUCUGCCGCAUGCGGGACACACUGCCAAGAAGUGCUAAGACGUACUGUCACUAGCUUUCUUGCAAAACUCCACACUGUAAGCAAUGGGGAGAUCCAUGCUAAAAAAAGAAAGAGGAAUUACACAAUGUGGCCGAUAUUAUGUUGUUUUGUUUUUAGAGUAGAGAUCGGAGGCUGCUGUGAAGACAAGCCCUUUUGCAUUUAGUGCUGUGGCAAUUUCACAAUUGUCUUUGUCCUGAAAAAUAAUUUUCUGAAGUGGGUCUGCAUGGGUCUCGGGCUGGAUCCCAUUAAAAUCAGUGGUAGCUGGGGCAGUGGCCCUACAAGACGGGGCUGGACUAUACUGAAGGUCUCUUAACUGCUUGCCCAUGUCCUUUUAUGCUGUAGACAUGACCUCCAUUCCAACAGAGGUUGUAGGUGCCCAGGCUUUUGUAGGGGGUUCUCCUUAUACAUUUUCCUGAAGUCUGUUAUCAAAUUAGAAUACUCUAAAGUUUUUCAUUUAGCUUAUGCCUGGACAAAUCAUAGCAAUGGCCUGCACCAUCUCCACCUGUCAAUUGAUCUGGAGUAAUGAACAGUGCAAGAAUCCAAAGUGACAACUAGAAUAGGGUUAUUGGGAUGAAAUUUCAAAGUGAAAUCUGCAGCAGAAUUUCUGAUGCAUGUGAAGUCAUAGGCAACCUGAACCGACUAGAUCUUUCUGUAUUUCAAUAGGGAAAUGCAGGUAAUGCUUCAAGUGUGUUUUUAGAGGGCAAAGGUGGGCAGGAUGAGGGAUUCUGCUGCAGUUGAAACAAGAAGCUGUUAAUCUGUUGGUGUAUUUCUGUGCAUGUUUUGAUUUGUGUGUGUGGAUGCUGAGUAGAUCAGCCAGGAAACUAAGAAAAUAAGAUGUAUUCAGGUUGGUUGCGCAGACCAAAAUGCCUGUCCUGUCUUGUAUUUGUCUCUGGGAAAUUGAAAGACUCAGUAGGAAUAGGUUUUUGCCUUUUGUUAUUUAAAAACAAUAAUCCGUCUUCCUGCUUUUUUGAAGGGAUAUUCUUUCUGAAUUUUCCAAAUAAAAAGCCAGUCAGAUAUUUUACACUGUUUCACGCUUUCACGACACCAUGAUGGUCCUGACCAUUUUCUCAAUGUAAAUCUAGCAGUGCUGAGGUUUGCUGCUGCUCCUCAAGUAUCGACAUAAUUACAUAAGAGUGUGCCAGCAGCAAGUGCCUGUGCUGGUGGAUCAUGUGCAGCACACACAUUGCUGGCUGUCCGCAGCGCACUGAAAGCAGAGAUUUAUUGCAUUUACAAAGGGCCAUUACAAUGCAAUUUUAACUUACUGUCAUUAAAGGGUCUUACAUCAUAAGCAAUCACUGUAAAAAGCCUUAGACUCAGACUUAUUCUUCAUUUUUAUAGCGUGAUUUAUUAGAGCCCCCAUUAUAUCUUAUAAAUCAUAUCUGAAAGAAAUAAAAAUCAAUUAGGGCCUGGUCCUUUCACCUUUACCCGUGUUGGGCAGUGUCUUGUGCUCAGCCUGGAGGAAACGGGGACGUUCCUGGAGUAAGGGAUCGCUAGCAGAGGAGGAGUGAAGACAGCAAAGUCUGGGUCCUUACUGAGCACAGGAGAGAGAUGUAAAAAUUUUUUGGGAAAUAUUCUGCAGGGAGGGGGUGGUUCUCCAUAGAUUUCUCUGAUUUCAUCUGAUCCUAACACCGUGCCUCCCGAGUACUGUUUGAAGUGAAUCACGUAUUUAUGUAAUGCAACAUUCAGCAGAGAAAGCCAAGUCAGCCUUCUAAUGCUGUUCUUUCCUCGGAUCAAAUUCAGCAUGUAGUAACUAAGCUAAUUGAAAUACAGUUGCAAAGAUCUCAAAAUGGCUGUUCUGUUAGUGUGAUCCCACAAGAAUGCACUGCAUUUCAUAAAAUCAAGCCUAUAUAAAAUGGAAACUCAGCUUUGCUAUCUGUAUUUGCAUGAGAAAGGCUUACUUAAAUGAUUAUCAAUUAGGGCUCAAUUUUUCAAUCUGAAUACCCCUGCUUGCCCUUUUUAUUAUGAAAUACAGCACUUGGAUAUGAUUUGAUUGAACAUUAAUUGAAGUCAUGUGGUUUGAAUGGGGAUGUAUUCUGUAGUCCUUUGCAGUGAAAAAUGCCACUAAGAUCAUGAAGAGCUCUGCCAGCAUUAGAGCUCUGUGUUUUGAUGCAGUGUGCUCAGGUCUUUGGUUAUGAAAAUAUAUGUAUUUGAAUAUGUAUGUUCCUAAUAAGUUGCUAAGAUCUAUUGCACCUCAGUGCUUUGGAACAGAAACAUGCAAUGUAUAUAUUAAAAAAAAAGCCCUACACGGCAAUUAAUCUGUUAUCCUGAACCGUACCACAGGAAAAUUCAUUUCUAUCCUUGAAGUUGCUGGUAAUUUUGGCAGGGAAUUUCAGUAACAGUAAGGCUGGACCCUCUGUUGCUGGUUUGCUUCCAUCUCUCCUUAUCUUAAAAGAAAGGCAAUAUGUAUAGACUAUACUAAGGUAGUACCAUAAAUAUAUACAGAGCAGUCUUGUAUUUUUAAAAAUAAGAAAGAUGAGUACCAGUAAAUACUGGACUGUACAAAAGAAGGAAAAACAAAUUGGAAAAAUAAUUUUCCUAGGUACAGUCUAAUAUAUCCCAUUUUUGAUCAGUUCUAAAAUAAAAAUAUAAUGGAUCAUUGUAUCCUUUGUCUCAUGAUGCACCAACACAGAACACCAGUAUUUUUUUGCCUUUUAUUUUUUCCCCUAACCAGAACCAAAAUAGCAAAUGUCAGGGAAAGGGCAAAGAAAAUAACUGAAGGCAUAUAGGGAUGGAUUUAAAGAGAGAAGAGACCAAAUAUUGUUCUGAAACCAGUCGCUAAAUUCAUACUGAUUUCAGUGGCACCAAGGUUACAUUUUUAGAAGUAUUUUGGGAUGGUUUAAUUUUGAAGCCCUUCCUCAUAUGGAAAUCCCACUCAGCGUCGUAGGAGGUGCUGGUGAUAGGAAGGCAUAUAUAUGUGUAUGCAUAUGAUGGUAUGAUCCAUACAAUCACAGCCUUGGCUAAAUCAA